UCUUUUUUUAAUGUAAUGAAUUUUCUAAUUUAAGUGCUUAAAUUAAAUUACACAGAUGUUAAUUUAAUAAUUAUCCAUCCAUCCAUCCAUUUUCCAAACCGCUUAUCCUAUUGGGUCGCGGGGGGUCCGGAGCCUAAUUUAAUAAUUAUUUCAAAUAUUAAUAUCCAUCCAUCCAUCCAUUUUCCAAACCGCUUAUCCUAUUGGGUCGCGGGGGGUCCGGAGCCUAAUUUAAUAAUUAUUUCAAAUAUUAAUAUAAAUUGUUAAAAUGCAAAAUACUAGAAGUUCAUGUUAAAAAUGGACUAUUUACAAAACAACUGCUGUAAUGUGUUAUCGAUUUGAUCUUUAACUAAUGUAAUGUAAGCAAAUGGGAAAUGUGUCUCUAUAUCAUUAUGCUGAAAUCUAUCUCUUUGUUACAGGCUUUCAGAAGCUGCUGGAUCCUCUUCACUCUGGCUUGCUGAUAGUUUUAUCUUGCAGCAUUAUUCUGAACGUUGCUCUCAUUUGUAUAAGAUGUAAACUGACCUGUACACACUGUGCAGAUGAAAAGAACAGUGAUAUAUCAAAAGUGGAAUGGUCACGCAAGCAAUGCCAUGACGAGGACACACUGAAUUACGCUGCCCUGAACCUUAAGAAGCCAAAACCCAGGAGACAGAAGAAAGACGGGAAUAAUGACACUCUGUAUUCUGACCUCCGCUACAGAGAUUAUGAAUAAAGAUGCUUCUCAUUCAUGUCAGUCACACAGAGUGUUCAGGGUGUAGCUUUAAUAAUGUUCAGAGGAGGGCAGGGGAGCCAGUGCUUCUGAGACUGAAUCACGGGAUUUUACGGAGCACCGGUGCUGAGUUUGGUGUCAGUGUGUUUGGGGCGCAUUUUUACUGGAAGUGCAAA